CUCGAACGUUCUCUGAAUUGGGAAAGGAUAGGAGUACGCUAUACGAUAUCUGUGAGCAGAAGCAGGGNCGCAGACUGCGCCCUGGGCGGCGANGUCGAUACUGUGUGGGUAAGCUACAAGAAACCGUAGGUCGAAAGAUAAUCGCCAUGGAUGAAACCGGCAAAUCUAGGAGGCAAUGGGAAUUGGACAUGGGCAACUGAUCAACAUGCCGGUGAUUGAAAAAGGCNUCGGUUGGAAGCNCUUCGGCCGGAGAAUCGNUGGGCGAUACCUGUNUGAUCACGGACCGGACAGAACGCACCGGUUAAUACUUGCAGAGCGCGGUAUACUUAGGGUGCGAGCGUAUCGAAUCACUGGGGCNUAAAGCGUGCGCAGGCGGUUGGUAAUCCAAAUUUGAAUCCCCGGUACACCUGGGAACUGCUUCGAAACUGCCAAUGAUUUUGGCAAGGGGUGGAANCACGUUCGUACGCCAGGUGNAAACUGCGUCACAAAAUCGCUGGAAGGAACCCCCGAUNGGAGAAAAGGCAGACCCCUGGGGCCAAUAAAUGGACGCUUACAUGGCAGCGAAAAGCGUAGGGAAGGCCAACAGGGAUAGCNCACCAC
rnacentral:rRNA from 1 species